GCAAGUCGAGCGGACCGAAGGGAGCUUGCUCCUUUAGGUUAGCGGCGGACGGGUGAGUAACACGUGGGCAACCUGCCCUGCAGACUGGGAUAACUUCGGGAAACCGGAGCUAAUACCGGAUAACACCGAAAACCGCAUGGUUUUCGGUUGAAAGGCGGCUUUUAGCUGUCACUGCAGGAUGGGCCCGCGGCGCAUUAGCUAGUUGGUGAGGUAACGGCUCACCAAGGCGACGAUGCGUAGCCGACCUGAGAGGGUGACCGGCCACACUGGGACUGAGACACGGCCCAGACUCCUACGGGAGGCAGCAGUAGGGAAUCUUCCGCAAUGGACGAAAGUCUGACGGAGCAACGCCGCGUGAGCGAAGAAGGUCUUCGGAUCGUAAAGCUCUGUUGUCAGGGAAGAACAAGUACCGUUCGAACAGGGCGGUACCUUGACGGUACCUGACGAGGAAGCCACGGCUAACUACGUGCCAGCAGCCGCGGUAAU
rnacentral:rRNA from 1 species